rnacentral:tRNA from 1 species
ACGCCUGUAAUUGUCGGUUUCCUAAACCGGGUGCGCAGGUUCGAGUCCUGCUAGGGGUA